rnacentral:rRNA from 1 species
GUGGGGUGUGAAGAGUUAAACGCCUUCACGUUUUGCAUAUUCGUGCUCUUGGGUGUACUUGCCCGUGUGGUUGGUUAACAUCAAUUUUGGACGCCAUAAAAUGACUGGAGGAAUGUAGCUUCGAUCUCGUAUUGAAGUGUUAUAGCCUUCGGUAGAUGUGGUUUUCGAGAUUGAGGAUUGCAACGGAUACCCUUCGGGGCUACCUAUCUGAUCUCUGAUCGUUGCUCUGGUGCCGAAAGCUUGCUUACGGUUAUCAAAGUCGAUGGUCAAUAUGUUAGAAUGGGUUAAA